rnacentral:rRNA from 1 species
ACAUGACUCUCGGCAACGGAUAUCUAGGCUCUCGCAUCGAUGAAGAACGUAGCAAACUGCGAUACUUGGUGUGAAUUGCAGAAUCCCGUGAACCAUCGAGUGUUUGAACGCAAGUUGCGCCCGAAGCCUUUAGGCCGAGGGCACGUCUGCCUGGGCGUCACGCAUCAGCGU